rnacentral:lncRNA from 1 species
GAUGAGUACCGACAAUCUUGAUAGUUUAUUUAACAGCCAAUUGCCUUUCACAAACCCAAGAAGCUUUAAAAUGCAGAAUAUUAAUUUAGAGGAUGACAAAGAUAAAGCACCGACACUGAUCAUGGAGUCAAUUCAAUCCAGUUGGACAUUGAGAUGUAAUUUUCAGGAUCGAGUCUCCCCCCAAACAAUAUAGUGUCAAUGGGUUUUGAAAUGCUAUAAAGACAUGAUAAAAACAAAAAAAAAAGUACAAUGGAGUUAAGGUGAAUACACUUUUUUUAAAAAAAUUUCAACCCGAAAAUUAAUAUGGAACAGUUUGGCAAUAUUUUCAAAAUAAAUAUCUUGCUGAAGCUAUUGCGGAGACGCGACAGAUCCAAAUUUCCAUAUCAAGAAGCUCAUUACCACAUGUUUUCAAAUAUUAUGGUAAUAAGGUUAAAGAAUAAAUUAUAAAAUUAAUUAGUGUUGAAUUUUUCUUUUGGUGAAAAGCUCAAAUUGGGUAAUUUAUUCAAAAUUCCCAAUUCUCAAUAUAAAAAUUAAAAUAUUCCUCCUAGCAUUUUGAAAAGCUACCUUAAAUCAUGACAGAGAAGUAUCACUACUUGGGGCACCAGUUAAAUGACAAAGUUCUAUAAAACAAUCAUGGCUAAAGCUAUGCUUUUCAGCUAUUUUAAAUACACUCAUCUCCAUAUAUAGAAAAACUAGUACUCAUGUAAGCACAUGCUACAUGCUUUAUUUAAGCUCUCUCAACAAUCAACUAAAUGCUAAACAAGCAAAAAAAAGCCAGAAAGCAUUGAUGAAUGAGUGAGAACGUAUUAUUGACUACACGAAAGGAGUAAAUAUGCAUUAAUGAAUGAGAAACAACACAAGUAAAAUAGCCACUUAGGCAUUAAAAUUUGAGACUCCACAUAGUAGUUUGAUUUAAAAACCUAACUUAUGUACAAUUACUACGGCUGUUAUAGGCCAAAGGCAGAGACAAUCAUCUCCUAGCCAAACAAGUCUUCACGACUUAUUGAAUCACCUCCAUCAUCUGAAUCUGCAC